GAUGAACGCUGGCGGCGUGCCUAAUACAUGCAAGUCGAGCGAACAGACGAGGAGCUUGCUCCUCUGACGUUAGCGGCGGACGGGUGAGUAACACGUGGAUAACCUACCUAUAAGACUGGGAUAACUUCGGGAAACCGGAGCUAAUACCGGAUAAUAUAUUGAACCGCAUGGUUCAAUAGUGAAAGACGGUUUUGCUGGCACUUAUAGAUGGAUCCGCGCCGCAUUAGCUAGUUGGUAAGGUAACGGCUUACCAAGGCAACGAUGCGUAGCCGACCUGAGAGGGGGAUCGGCCACCCUGGAACUGAGACACGGUCCAGACUCCUACGGGAGGCAGCAGUAGGGAAUCUUCCGCAAUGGGCGAAAGCCUGACGGAGCAACGCCGCGUGAGUGAUGAAGGUCUUCGGAUCGUAAAACUCUGUUAUUAGGUAAGAACAAAUGUGUAAGUAACUAUGCACGUCUUGACGGUACCUAAUCAGAAAGCCACGGCUAACUACGUG
rnacentral:rRNA from 1 species